rnacentral:misc_RNA from 1 species
GUCUGCUUAGCUGUUUCGUCUAUGUUUGUGUGUUAAUAUGCGGGCCGUGGCUUGCGCCACCCGCCAAAACAUUCAAUGUUGGGGUGUAUGUGGAUUUCAAUAAUGAUCCAUCCGCAGGUUCACCUACGGAUA